rnacentral:lncRNA from 1 species
AGUGCUGGAACUUGGUCUUCUGCAAAGGCUCUCUUGUCGUGGGUUUCUACCCAAAUCGGUAUUUUCCAGGCGUUCCAGGACUGCGGCUGAGAGGGGCUGGAGCCAGUCCACAGCCCAGAGCAGGAUCACCUGUUCCCCAUUGCACAGUCUCAGACACAUACUCCAACUGACCCCUCUCCAAGCCCCGCAGCUUCUGAAAACACAUGGAUUUCAUGGUGAAGGAAAUAUCUCCACCUAAAGCCUUUCUAGGCACCCUUCCCCCCAAGGCGUUUUGCUAAUGUGUACCAGAAUGUUCUUGAAAGGAGAAAAAAGGAAAAAGAGAAAGAAAUGCUUUGUGAGGAGAAGGCUCUGCCUUCCAGCCCUUCUAACACAACUGCCUCCUAUUAAUCUGCG